rnacentral:tRNA from 1 species
GCCAGUGUGGCGUAGAGGUUUGAAUGCUGGACUACGACUCUGGAGACCAGGGUUCGAGUCCCACAUCUGCCA